rnacentral:rRNA from 1 species
GAUGAACGCUGGCGGCGUGCCUAAUACAUGCAAGUCGAGCGAACAGACGAGGAGCUUGCUCCUCUGACGUUAGCGGCGGACGGGUGAGUAACACGUGGAUAACCUACCUAUAGGACUGGGAUAACUUCGGGAAACCGGAGCUAAUACCGGAUAAUAUAUUGAACCGCAUGGUUCAAUAGUGAAAGACGGUUUUGCUGUCACUUAUAGAUGGAUCCGCGCCGCAUUAGCUAGUUGGUAAGGUAACGGCUUACCAAGGCAACGAUGCGUAGCCGACCUGGGAGGGUGAUCGGCCACACUGGAACUGAGACACGGUCCAGACUCCUACGGGAGGCAGCAGUAGGGAAUCUUCCGCAAUGGGCGAAAGCCUGACGGAGCAACGCCGCGUGAGUGAUGAAGGUCUUCGGAUCGUAAAACUCUGUUAUUAGGGAAGAACAAAUGUGUAAGUAACUAUGCACGUCUUGACGGUACCUAAUCAGAAAGCCACGGCUAACUACGUG